rnacentral:rRNA from 1 species
GAUGAACGCUAGCGGCAGGCCUAAUACAUGCAAGACGAACGGUAAGUUGAGUAGCAAUACUUAGCCAAGAGUGUCGUACGGGUGCGUAACACGUAUGCAACCUACCCUAUACAGGAGGAUAGCCUAGGGAAACCUGGAUUAACCCUUCAUAGUAUUAUUGGAUGGCAUCAUUUGAUAAUUAAAACUGAGGUGGUAUAGGAUGGGCAUGCGUCUGAUUAGUUAGUUGGCGGGGUAAUGGCCCACCAAGACGAUGAUCAGUAGGGGUUCUGAGAGGAAGAUCCCCCACACUGGCACUGAGAUACGGGCCAGACUCCUACGGGAGGCAGCAGUAGGGAAUAUUGGUCAAUGGAUGCAAGUCUGAACCAGCCAUGCCGCGUGCAGGAAGAAGGCCUUCUGGGUUGUAAACUGCUUUUGCCAGGGGAUAAAAAUUUCCAAUGCGUGGAAAACUGAAGGUACCUGGUGAAUAAGCCACGGCUAACUACGUGCCAGCAGCCGCGGUAAUC